rnacentral:tRNA from 1 species
AUUAACAUAGUUUAGUUAAAAUGUUACUUUGUGGAAGUAAAGAUGAAGUUUCUGUUGAUA